rnacentral:rRNA from 1 species
AUUGAACGCUGGCGGCAUGCCUUACACAUGCAAGUCGAACGGCAGCACGGGUGCUUGCACCUGGUGGCGAGUGGCGAACGGGUGAGUAAUACAUCGGAACAUGUCCUGUAGUGGGGGAUAGCCCGGCGAAAGCCGGAUUAAUACCGCAUACGAUCUACGGAUGAAAGCGGGGGACCUUCGGGCCUCGCGCUAUCGGGUUGGCCGAUGGCUGAUUAGCUAGUUGGUGGGGUAAAGGCCUACCAAGGCGACGAUCAGUAGCUGGUCUGAGAGGACGACCAGCCACACUGGAACUGAGACACGGCCCAGACUCCUACGGGAGGCAGCAGUGGGGAAUUUUGGACAAUGGGCGAAAGCCUGAUCCAGCAAUGCCGCGUGUGUGAAGAAGGCCUUCGGGUUGUAAAGCACUUUUGUCCGGAAAGAAAUCCUUGGCCCUAAUACGGUCGGGGGAUGACGGUACCGGAAGAAUAAGCACCGGCUAACUACGUG